rnacentral:lncRNA from 1 species
CCCCAGUAGUCUAAUGUUGGUCCUUCCUCAUCCAACACCUGAGUCCUAGCAUGAUCCUCCUACUGAUUAUCAAGACAAGGACAUCAGUAUGGAUAAGUUGCAUAUUCAGGAUAAUUUAAUAGAAAUAUUAUAUCCUUAUGAUAAUUAAGAUUUAAAUAUUAACUUUCAUAUUGAUUUUAUUUCAGGUCAUCAAUAAUUAAUAGUUCUGAAUAUGUUUUUUCCUCCAUUUGAGAGAGCGAGAAUGAGAUGCUAACCCACACGAGCAAGAGAUGUGUGGUAGCGAGCUGAGGGCAAGAGGAUCAUCGUCAAGUGCUACCAUAUGGGACAGCCUAUCAAAAGGGCCGGCAAC